AUGGACCAGAAGCCAGGCUUGGGCCCAGUAGCUCUUGGAGGAAUUCAUCCCUUGCCUGUCCGGCCUCCCAUCCGCUCCGGCCCCCAAGGGCGCAAGAGGGAGGGGGUCCCCCUUGCGGAAGGGGGGGCGGGGAGUUCCUUGGCAGGAAGGGAAAUGGAAGGAAAAGCUGGGCUCCACCCGGGCGGGCGGGCAGGCGGCCCCAGGGCCCCCGGGGCAGGCGGCGGUAACCCGAGCCCACUGGUGUGCGGGGCUGGGGGGCGCGUGGGUGGAGCUGACCCCAGGGUCCUCCUGGGGGGCCUCAGGGGUCUCCCGGGGGCAAGUCAGGGAGCCCCCGGGGGCCCGCCGAGGGACGCGCUCUCCGCCCGGGCCCUGACCCCACCCCCUGGAGGUCUAGCCCCGGCCCCAGGCCCCGCCCCCCGGGCCCUCCCUCCCACCCCAGGGCCAGAUGUUCAGCUGGCGGAGGCAUCGGCUGGGGGAGGGGUGCUGAGGCCGCAGCCGGCACUACUUCCCUGCCAGCAGCUUCAUUGUGUGCGCGAGGAGCGAGCGGCGGCGGAGAGCGGGCGGGCGAGCAGCAGCCCGAGCGCGGCGGGGAGAGCGAGCGCGCCGGGGAGGGUGCGAGGCGGCGCCCGCGGCUGCGCUCCGCCCGCCUCCCGGCAACUCUGCUCGGCGCGCCGCGCCGUGCGCGCCGUCCCGCCGCCGCCGCCGCCGCCACCGCUACCGCCGGGGCCCCGCCGCCUGCCGUCGCAGGCAGGGGUCCGGUCGGGACAGGGGUCCCCGCCCGGGGACCGGGGCAUCCCGGUGCAACCGAGGGGCGUGCAGCCCGCGGGGGGCGCCACUUGCGCCGCAGCGCCCGCUCUCUCAACUGCGUGGGCCGGGAGGGUGGUGGGGCUCCGGGGCGCCCCGAAGGCAGGGUGCCCCGACCGCUCCGGGGAGCCCCAAUCCCGUGGAGCGCUCGGAGCGAGCGCGCCCCAGCCGCACCGGACCUUGCGCUCGUCCCCCGCGUACCCCACUUCUGCACAAACUUUUCUGACGCUCUCGCCCGUGGGGGUCGCGGAGAGCACUGAGCCGUCCGCAGGGUUCCCGCCCCGCGGGACCCUGGCCACGCUGACCUCCUGCCUCUCGUAG
rnacentral:lncRNA from 1 species